UGUGCCUUUGCUUGGGAGCAUCUUCUCACACUCUCAGUUCAGUACAACACAUUGGAUAAGUGAGCUGUUUCUCACAUAUGAGGAUGGUGCCUUUGAACCCCAGUCAGCAAGGAGUGAGCUCUGUGCUGUUCUGUCCUGGUGACGGCCUGUGCUGAGUCAUCCACUCUGGCCAGCAGCAAACGUUUGUGAAGACAGUCACCAUGGAUUAUGAGUUUGUUCUGUGGCUGGCGGCAAAAUUAUGUUUGUUAAUUUCCCAAGCUAAUUGCUCAUUCUAUCCUGAAACAAGCUGGCCCACAGAGCUACCCCAUCUUUGGACCUGGCUUUAUCUGUGCCAUAUUUUAUCAAAUUGGGGUAAUGGAUGGAGACACACUGUUUAAGACGGCUGAUCUGGGAUAGACCCUCUCAUAUGAGAGUACAUUGGAGACCUGCUUUGCUUUUGAUGCCAGAGACAGUGCUUGUCACAUAAGAGGGUCAGUGGAAAUCAACCAAGAGCAAGAAAGCACUGAAUACAAAAGAAGGAGUGGAGGGGAGAGAAGAGUUUGUCCUGCAGGAAAAGGACGCUGAGAAGGGCCUUGGGGCUACAAAUGAUGGACAAAAACACAAAGAAGAAAAUAAGCGCAGAGUGGUUCAGGGAAGUCAUCUGCUAAAAAGUCCCCAGGUACACGGCCACGUCCCUGGCUGACAACCUCCUCUCUCCUGACUGAUAUAAAAAAGGAGAUAUGCUGAUCCUUCUCGGCUCUCUUUCUUCCCAUUGCUCUUCUGUGACUCAACCAAGAGAGUACUCCAAUCCAUACCAAAUACAUUUCCAGAUAUCAACAAAGGAAAGUUGACUGGAAAGAUCAGAAACAAAAGUCCUGUCUCAAACACAGAUCACUGAAUGCUGUGACUCUUUGGUUGCUUGGGCUUCCCUGGUGGCUCGGCGGUAACGAAUCUGCCUGCCAAUGGAGGAGACGAGGGUUCAAUCCCUGAUCCAGGAAGAUCCCCUGGGAAAGGAAAUGGCAACUCACUCCAGUAUUCUUGCCUGGGAGAUCUCAUGGACAGAGGAGCCUGGUGGGCUACAGUCCUUGGGGUUGCAGUCUGACACAACUUAGCAACUGAACAACAACAACAUUUAAAAAAAAAAAAAGAUGAUUCAGUCUCAGGUACAGUAUUAGAGAAUUACAAAAUGAUUCUGAAUGUCUCUGUCCCAGACCAGAGAAAUCCUGUCAAAAGAGAAAAAAGAAAGGCAAGAGUUCUCAUUUUCCCACAAAACAUAUUUUAAUGAUAAUGAAUUAUCCAGUAUGUCUCUAUAAAAAGAUCCUUCAGAUUCUAAAAAUGUCAAGUAAAUUUUUAUUGAUGACUGUUUACUAUAGCCAUUAUCAGUUUCAGAUAGGUAAGCUAUGAUAUAUAUAUAUAUUUUUUUUUGUUUUAAAUGAAUGGCAUAUGCAGUUAAAAUUCAUUUGUAGUUGUUGCUCAGCCACUCAGUUGUGUCCAACCCUUUUGCAACCCAUGGACUGUAGUCUGCCAGGCUCCUCUAGCCAUGGGAUUUCCAGCAAGAAUAUUAGAGUGGGUUGCUGUUUCCUUCUCCAGGGGAUCUUCCUGACUCAGGAAGGAUCAAACCCAUAUCUCCUGCAUUGCAGGUGCAUUCUUUACCACUGAGUCAUCAUGGAAGCUCUAAAAUUCAGUAGGGACUCAAAGUUAACAAUAUAUUUAUAACCUCUUUAUAGGACUUGGAGCUACAUUCCCCCGUUUUAAAUAAUGAUAAUGUUUUAGCUGCACCUUGGUUUUUAUUACGUGUAGUUUGCCCUCUCUGUGCUUCAUUUGCUGUCAGGUUGGUAACAUGUGAAGUUUCAAAUUAUAUCCUUGUUCCUGUUCCAACUUAUGACUUUCCAAAAGGAACACUAAACACAUUCAACCGUAAGCUAUCCAGCCAAAGGAAAUGAUGGGACUCCUGCUGUUUGAACCACUGAAAUCCAAUUUGGGGGAGGCGCUGCCCAUUAUCCUAUAUAGAGAAUCCAGAUGGACGAAGAUGGGAUCAAGCCUGAAGUUCUUCUGUACUGCAGUCACUUCGGUUCUAACUGUGAAAUUACCAGUUUUAGAGGACUGAUGCUGGACACUCACAACAAUGUCACCGCCUCAAGAAAGUACCACUCUUCACAAUUUACAUGAAAACUCUAUAUAGGGAAAUCUAAUUGGAAUAUUUUUCAACAGCAUUUAAAUACCAGGCCAGCUGGAUCUCCACAGCCCAUGUGAAUUGAAUGAGCACACUUCUCAGAACCUGUAUUCUAUCAUCACUGAAUGCUUGAGCUACAUCUGUCACCCAAAUCUGGCCGUGCUCAUUUCUUGUCAUUCACUCUGAACAUCCAGAAACGAAACAUUCAGUGGUAGCCUCAGAGGCACUCGUUUUGUGACAGCGUGCAGCAGUGAGACGGCAUCCUUGAAAUGAAAUGCCUUCCUAACCCCACGCCCCUGCUCUUCCUCUAACUUUCCCUUUUCCAAAUUCCCCUGAAGAACACUUUUUCAAGGUGAAUCUGACGUGGCUGAUCCACAACUUACAUUUUAGCAGUUAUACCUUCAACUGAUAUCUCAAUUCAUACCAUAUAAAUCUCCCAAUAUCAAGUUCUUUUUUUUUUUUUAAGAUAACAGUACCACUAAAUAAAAAUGUCAUUUCACCCUGUUCUUCUGUUCCCUUCCUCUACUACUGGAAUCUAUUAACCUAGCUUUUAUUUCUCAAACCAACACAAAGUGUCAGAAGCCGGAGCUGGUCUUUUUUUAAUCAAACGUGACAUCAAAUAAAAUAUAGUUAAGACCACAACGAGUCAUAAAAGCAAGGACACAUCAACUCUCAAGCUCCCUGAAGCUUUUAGAAUCUUGUUGAGGGGAUGGAAAACAUGCACAAAAAGUAACGGUGGGAUGUUCCUAAAAUGUCAUGUAAACCAGUUACUUCUGUGUUGACAGAAAGUACUGUAAUGGUGCUGGGAAGUUCAAAGCUAUGAAGAGACCAUCAGAAGGCAUGUUGAAUAUGUUCCUUAAUAGAGGAGAGUAGGUAGGAAAGUUCAAACAAUGGUCAUGGUGGUAAAGAGCGCAGUAAUUACAAAGAUAAGUGCAAAGUACAGAAAUAUAUAAAUCAUGAUAAAUAACAUCACCCAGACCCUAUUUUUCCAAAGUAUUUUCUCCUACAAAUGAGCUAAUGAUAGAUGCAGAAAUGCCAAAUGCUGUGACUGCUAUAUAGCAGGGGAUCCAGUAAAUGUUUGGUUAAAAAAAAAAAAAGACCCAAGAAAUAAAUUAAUAGAGUGGAGGAAAUUAAAGAGGGCUGGAAUAUGUAAAGUAAACAGGGUUUAACAAAGAUCUGAAGUAACUACUUAACAGGCAAAUUUACCUAAUAAGUGAUUCCAGAUAUAGAAACACUAAUCCUGGCAGCAGUUAAUCUACCAAAAACCUGACAAGAACAUUCUUUUUUCCUUUUCAGUUUAUGAAAAGAGGUAAUCGUCCAGGAAGAAGUACAUUCUCUAGGUGUUUGCUGCCAGCUGGGGGGAAGCAAAGUGGGAAACAGAAGGGGGAAAGCAUGUGUGUGUUUUCUUCUCUCCAUUAGCUUGGGAAAUGCAUCUUCACUAAAAAAAAAUUGUCAUCAGUAAGAUGCUCUCUUGUUCAACUUAGGAGAGGGGCUGGAAGACAUUAAGUGGUGAAUAUGGGUCUUUAUUAUUCUGGCAAUGUUGGCCUGUUCAUGUUCAAAAUUUAUGUUUUAAAAUCUCUGGAAGGCACAGUGCAUUUCAAUUAGUGAGACUAUACAGUAGUUUGUCUUCUCCUAAAAAUAAUUAUGUAAAAUUUAUUCUGAGUUAUUUGUAAUUUUAGUACUUAGGGAAGUGUCUGCAUUUUCAAUUAAGAGCUAAGUAUACAAAUUAAAAGUGCUGCACAGUGUAGCUUAAAUCCAGCCCUCACUGGCCGGUGCACAUAAACACUAAUAUCAAAUGAUGGUUUUGUCAUGUGAUCCAACCCGCAGCACAUACAAAUAUAGAACAUGACCAUAAAAAGUAACGGACCAUGCCCUCUGCUAAGUAAUUUAUGACAGCGGAUCCAGACUGGAAUGCCAGCUGGAAUUACCUUCUCCCUGUCUGCUAUUUUCGCAUAUACAGCUUUGUACAGAUGAUAGAAGCUACGUUCUGCAGAGAGGACUCAUGUUAAGGCUGCUGAAAUGACGAACAAGUAGCAAACCCAAAGGCUAAAACAUGUUUGGCUUUUAAAAAGAUUUGUUGAAUGAUGUUAAACCUCUUUUAAAAUCAAUUUUUGAAUCAGGCUGUAAGAGAAAAACUUGUAACCCUACCAAUUUUGAAAUUUCAGAUUUAUGGUGUCUAGCAAACAGAUAGGAAGCUUUACAGUGGAGAAUGAAAAAUAGUUGAUAAUCAUGUUAUGAAAAAUGCAAUGUGAUCCCAAAACUUGACUAAAGGGAGAAUGAAAAAUUCCCUAGCCAUAUACGUAGCCCUAACCUCUUUGCAGAAUUUGCCAUUGAGGCAGUCUGGAACUGUAACAAAUUUAGUAUGAAAUAGUGGAUAAAACAAAGGAUAUUAUCCUUCUUUAUUAACCUUUACCCCCUUGGAUAAUCCCCCAAAUCCCAUGUGUGUGAUAACCACCUCACUUCCUUUGGGCAGUCAUUCAUUAUCUAAUUCAUGUCUUACACAAAGAGAAAUGAGCUAAUGUGCCUUAUCAGAUUAAAAAAAAAAAUAGUCACCAUGAGGGAUGUCCAACAGGACAGGAUCUUAGCAAAUCCCUUCUGCCUCCAUAGUCCUGGGUUUCUAAAUACCUAUAAAGCUACUAACCCACAGUCACAGCUCACAGGCUCAUUCACAGCUUUAUGUUGCUAAAGCAAACAGUCUGGGCAGAAGAAUGACAGCAUUACCCUCCUUUCUGAUUAUCCUCCUCUCUGCAUCCUGAUAAACUAAUGAUUUGCUUUCCUGUUGGGAUUCAGCCCCGACUGGGUAGCUUCAAGCUGUCAACUCAAGCAGACCCUGAUGAUAUCACACAAACCUCUUCCUCUCCUUCCUUCCCGGGUGCUUCAUUCUUCAUGAACCAGCAUCAACAUACAGCCUACACAUGGAGCCCGGGUGUAAUUACCAAGGCAAUUUUCUGGCCCUGGAAAGGCUCAUGUGAAAAGCAAAGGCUUCUUUUUGCCUCACUUCUCCAAAUACAACACAAAAUGCUAUUCAGAAAGCUGCUGGUUACAAAAAAUUCAAUCCUGUAAGUCUCUGUAACCUGUUUUUACCUGCUCAUCAUAGAUUGUACUUGGGCAGACAUUUCAAUUGGGUUUAAGCCUAUCUCUUCAGAAAUUAAAAGCAUGCAUUGCCUUUGAGUGCUUUUGAGUUGAUAGUUAAGAGAACCACCCACUUAGUAAUAUCAAUGAGUCCAAACUUAUGCAUAUUUAUGAAGUGAGACAGUUAAUUUGGAAAAGGCCAUAAAGUGAGUCACUGAUUAGGUUCUAAGAUGCUACUCCUUUUUGAAACUCUGAACACUGGGAAAUACUAUUGUCAAAUGAAAACAUAACUGACCAUGACACAAAAGAUGAAAACUUGUUACCUUUUAUUUCUCUUGCAGUUUUAUUUUUCUGUUUUCCAGAUAAAUGUAGAAGUACAUACUUAAAAAACCAUUAAAAAGACUUGUUCAACACAUAUAAAUAACAGCAGUUACUUAACAGAAUAUUUUCUUGAUACUUUUACAUGAAGACAGAAAGCUUUAAGGCAAUAUUUUAAAGUAGGCAUUUCACUUUGUAUUAGGGCCAGAAUUGCUGUAUUGCAUUAUGUUACCUGUCAUAUGCCCCCUAACAAUAGAACUUGGCAGUACUCAUUGUGGCCAAAUCUUUUAAGAUUCAGCAAUCGUGACUAAGCUAUGCUGUGACAUUUUCUGGGCAGGGACUUAAGGAACACUUGGGAGUUUGUCUUUGUUCAUUCGUUUGCUUUUUCUUUACAAUUUCCAGACCUGCCACUAGCCCCACCUAAUUUACUCAAGGCAUGUUCUGAGAUCAAAGUCACAUGACUACUUUGCUUGCCAUUUCAAAAUAUUGGACAAUAAUUUGACACCUUGUGUUAAACAAUACAGAGGCAAAAAAACGGGGGGGGGGAUGAACUCACUCUAAUUAAAAGAAAUGUUGAGAUCUCUCUAUAUAUGUAUCUACAUCUCUAGAUCUCUCUAUACUCAAGUACAGUGAAAACAAAUUCAGUGGUUAGAUUUGAAAGUUUUCUUGUCUUUCUCUGGAUGCCUCCUAGGGGAUUAGCCCAGAAAAACCCACUUGAGAGUUCAGAAAGAUAUUUCCACUAAGACAGACUUCAUUUUAGUCAAGCCAACUUACCCACUCUGGCAGACUGGCUAAAUGCUCACCAAAUCCAUGAAUUUCUCCUUCCCAGCAUACAGGCUGAUUAAAUUUCCCAGCCACCCUUGCAACUACAAGUGUCCAAGAGAUUGAAUGAAGGCAGAGGUGACAUAUGCCACUUCCAGGUCUGACCCAUAAAACCUUUCCAGGAAUGAUCCUGCAUUGUCUUUCCUGAGUCAGUGGCCAAGGACUUGGAGUCAGGAAGGGGCUAAAAGAUAGAAGAUGCCCGGUCCCUGAAUGACCAUAUGGAAGACUGUCAAUCAAAAACACCACAGCAGACCUCAGGCAAGCAAGAAAAAUGAGAAUUAGGCACUUCUGCUUAAAGCAGUUGGACUAACCUAACUAGUACUAAAGUCUGCUAUUCAAUCACUUGACCUUUGCAUAUUUUUUCUCAUUCAAUCCUCACAAUAACUCUAUGAGAUAAGAACUAUUAUCCCUAUUAAAAAUAAGGAAACAUGGGCUAAGAGAAUUUAACUGCUUUCUUAAGUGGGUAACUUGACAAGUUGGUUUAGUUAGAGUGGCUCAGUUCAGUGGGAGUUUCUUGUGGACUUUAUCAGAUUAAUUUGCCAGUAGCCAUCCAGGAAAAAAAAAAAAGAUCCUUUUUGUUUUUCUUGCAUUUGGAUUCACAAAGCUAAAGAGUAGAAGAUCUGGGGUUCAAAUCCAGGUAGGCACAAGUCCAAAGAUUCUACCCUUGACCACCCUCACAAAUUAAUAUAUAUAUAUAUAUUUUUAAUCUCAAACCUAUGGGCAUAAACCCAUAAAUAAUUGGAAUCUCUCAGUGUACCUAAGUAAUUAGCUUAAGUACUAAGGUUAACUACUAGGCUUUCUUGGUUGGUUUAAGAUUAAUAAAUUAUCAACAAAUUGGAUUACUGCCCCACAGCUUAGAAAAUCCUUACUGAGUGCGUGCUCUGGCAGAGCACUGUGCUGGGCCAUGCAUAUCACUAGCUGGAGGAAUGGACAGAAGAGGUCUCUCAUCCUCCUUUCUCUUCUCAUUUCUCAGACUCUUUAAAUAAUGAAAGGACAAAAAAUUAGUUUUAGAUUCCUGCUCAGUGCACAGGAAGGCACUAUCUCUUUAUUUUUUAAAAAAUAAUGAUUUAUGUAUUUGGCUGCCUCAAGUCUUAGUCGCAGUACACACACAGGGUCUUUGUUGCAUCAUGUAGAAUCUUUCAUUGAGGGGCACGGAUUUUCUAGCUAUGGUGAGUGCGGGCUUCUGAGCACAUGGGCUCAGUAACUGCACAGCAUGUGGGACUUUAGUUCCCCAAUCAGGGAUCGAACCUGCGGCCCCUGCAUAGCAAGGUGAACUGUUAACCACGAGGCCACCAGGGAAGUCCCAAUAUUUCCUUUUAUUUAUUUAUUUUUUAAAGUAAUUUAUUUAUUU